rnacentral:rRNA from 1 species
UUGGCAAGGACGCAUGUUACAAAAAAGAGAGCGAACACUUCACAGAUUAGCUCUGCCCGCACGGUAAAGCAAGUAGUUGGCCCGGACCAUGUAGCACAAGUCGUGAGCAUAUGGACAGGAAUUCCUGUGACUUCACUUGAUCAAGAGGAAAAUAAUAAGUUAAUACACUUAGCUGAUAGACUGCCUGAGCGAGUUAUUGGCCAAGAUGAAGCCAUCAACUCAGUUGCGCAAGCCUUGUUACGUUCCAGAGUCGGCCUUGAUCAAUCUGGCCAACCCAUAGGUUCUUUCCUAUUUUUGGGUUCCACUGGUGUUGGAAAGACAGAGCUUGCAAAAGCCCCUGCCGAGCAACUAUUUGACAGUGAAAAGAUGUUGGUCCGCUUUGAUAUGUCUGAGUAUGUUGAGGCCCAUUCUGUGUCGCGUCUCAUUGGAGCACCCCCAAGUUAUGUCGGGCACGAAAAUGGUGGGCAACUGACUGAGAAAGUGAGGAAACAUCCAUAUAGUGUCAUCCUUUUGGAUGAGGUGGAGAAGGCACAUCCUUCGGUGUUUAAUGUUUUCCUCCAGGUUCUUGAUGAUGGCAUGUUGACCGAUGGCUUAGGCCAGAUAGUAGAUUUCAAGAACACCAUCAUUAUCAUGACCUCAAAUCUGGGAGCCGAGCACCUAUCAACAGGAAUGGCAAACAAAAAGGAAACGAAAGGCCUUCUCAUGAAACAGGUUGAGAAAUAUUUCAAGCCCGAAUUCGUCAACAAAUUAAGUGAGAUUGUGAUAUUCGAGCCCCUUAUGCAAGAGAAGUUGAAGGAGAUUGUGAAAAUUCAGAUAAAAAAAGUCGUUGCUAGUGUCGCUUGCAAGGGUAUCUCUUUAUCCACAAGUGACGUCCCACUAGAUAUCAUUCUAUCGGAAUCAUACAAUCCAAUGUACGGCGCUAGGCCUAUAAGAAGAUGGGUGCAAAAGAAUGUGAUCACCAAGCUCUCGGAGCUCCUAGUCCAUGAAGAAACUGGUGAAGGCUCAGCGAUCCACAUUGAUGCUAUGGGUGACAAGGAUCUGACGUAUGAAGUGGUGAAGAAGACGACGGUGAACCCGCAAGAAGAUAAAGAUGUAAACCAUAGGCGACGACUAAAGAGACAAAGGGGUUUGCUUAGAAAUGGCAUGAAGCCGAAUAGGCUGUCUAAGAAAAGAGCU